rnacentral:pre_miRNA from 1 species
UGUGUGUGUGUGUGUGUGUGUGUGUGUGUGUGAACAGUUGUGGGCUUGUGUGUGUGUUUAUGUUUAUGCAUACGUUAUUACAUGCACACACACACACAAACACACACA